rnacentral:tRNA from 1 species
GCACCCGUAGCUCAGCUGGAUAGAGUACCCCGGCUACGAACCGGGCGGUCAGAGGUUCGAAUCCUCUCGGGUGCACCA